rnacentral:rRNA from 1 species
GGCGCAGGUGGCUUGGUAAGUCCUAUGUGAAAGCCCGCGGCUCAACCGCGGAAUUGCAUAGGAUACUGCCGAGCUUGAGACGGGUAGAGGCGAGUAGAAUUCCCGGUGUAGCGGUGGAAUGCGUAGAUAUCGGGAAGAAUACCAGUGGCGAAGGCGGCUCGCUGGGCCCGUUCUGACGCUCAGGCCCGAAAGCGUGGGAGCAAACA